ACAUCUUUUUCCAAGUCUCCCCAAAGACCAUACUCAUCAACACCUCUGAAGGGAGCGAGGACCGUUCACUAACUCACCACCAUCUGGUAGGUGACAGAGAGGUGACAAAAGUCCUGAUAGACAUUCCAGGUGACCCAUGGACUUGAACACUUCGUGCUUACUGCUUACCGCUGGUUCAGUAUCUCCUUCGUAGCAUGCCUGGCCAAGUGUCUGUGCAUCUUUCUGCUGGGCAUCUGUCUGUCUUGGCUACUUACAAGUCUCCAAAUGUCUCAGGAGAGUCCUUCGCAAGGUGGUGAUGGCAGCGAAAUGAAGUCCGUUGAUGCUAUUUUUGGAAUUGCCCUGAGGUCCUGGUGGAGAAAUCCUCCCUUUCCUCUGGGCUGUGGACAUCUUUGGUGUAAUUGUCCAGCAAUGUUGUGGUCACUUUGAUGAGCCCUUUACUAGAAUGGCUUGGUUCCUGGUGUGAGAGCGUCAUACUCCAUGUUUCCACAGCCACUGUGUCACAUGACCCAAGGAAAAGACGGGCAGGUGGAAACAGGACUUGCUGCCAAGGGACCAGCGCAGAACCCAAGCGAGCUUGUCAUGGGUAGGACUGCUGUGGUUCCAUGGAAACUUCCAGCCUGGCUUGUGAGAGCCUGAAGGAAUCUUGUGAACACUGGCUUUAAUCUCAUUUUCUAGAUGAGAAAAGCAGGCUCAUGGGAGAGAAGUGACUCACCUACCAGCCUGGCUGUUGACUGGCACCGUUGGAAUGGUUCUAAUUGAACCCCUGGAGAGGCAUUUCAGGCACGACGGCAAGGGCGGGAUGUUUGCAUUGCGCAUGCGCCCUCCCUACAAGGUGAAGCAGAUGGCCUGGGUGGGGAUUCUGACUCCGGCCCUUCUGGGGUUGGUGGCCUUGGUGGCUUUGUGCCAUCCUGUGAAUGGACCCAUACUGAGGCAUUGGUGACUACGGGGGUUUCCAUUCCAGAUGAACCCACUUUCUGAAGAGAGAUGAAAUAAAUUUCUGCUGCUGGCACCUU